CGAGGGGCAGCGAGGGCGUAGCAAUACGCCUGUCGGCGACCGGCGCACUGGUGAGUAACACGUAUGCGACCUGCCCCCUACAGGGGUAUAACCCGUAGAAAUGCGGACUAAUCCCCCAUAGUCCUGGAGGCUGCAUGGCAUUCAGGGGAAAGGCCAGCCGGUAGGGGAUGGGCAUGCGGCGCAUUAGCUAGUAGGCGGGGCAACGGCCCACCAAGGCGACGAUGCGUAGGGGUUCUGAGAGGAAGGUCCCCCACACUGGUACUGAGACACGGACCAGACUCCUACGGGAGGCAGCAGUGAGGAAUAUUGGUCAAUGGGCGCAGGCCUGAACCAGCCAAGUCGCGUGAGGGAUGACGGUCCUACGGAUUGUAAACCUCUUUUGUCGGGGAGUAACGUGCGGGACGUGUCCCGUAUUGAGAGUACCCGAAGAAAAAGCAUCGGCUAACUCCGUGCCAGCAGCCGCGGUAAUACGGAGGAUGCGAGCGUUAUCCGGAUUUAUUGGGUUUAAAGGGUGCGCAGGCGGCGCGCCAAGUCAGCGGUCAAAGUUCCGGGCUCAACCCGGUGUCGCCGUUGAAACUGGCGUGCUCGAGUGCGUGCGAGGAAGGCGGAAUGCGUUGUGUAGCGGUGAAAUGCAUAGAUAUGACGCAGAACUCCGAUUGCGAAGGCAGCUUUCCAGCGCGCUACUGACGCUGAGGCACGAAAGCGUGGGGAUCGAACAGGAUUAGAUACCCUGGUAGUCCACGCAGUAAACGAUGACUACUAGCUUUCCGGGAUGAUUGAGUCCUGGGAGGCACAGCGAAAGCGUUAAGUAGUCCACCUGGGGAGUACGCCGGCAACGGUGAAACUCAAAGGAAUUGACGGGGGCCCGCACAAGCGGAGGAACAUGUGGUUUAAUUCGAUGAUACGCGAGGAACCUUACCCGGGCUCAAACGACAGUGGACAGCUCCUGAAAGGGCGUCUCCGGCAACGGCCGCUGUCGAGGUGCUGCAUGGUUGUCGUCAGCUCGUGCCGUGAGGUGUCGGCUUAAGUGCCAUAACGAGCGCAACCCCAUCUCCAGUUGCCACCGGGUCGUGCCGGGCACU
rnacentral:rRNA from 1 species